rnacentral:rRNA from 1 species
GACGAACGCUGGCGGCGUGCUUAACACAUGCAAGUCGAACGGAAAGGCCCUGCUUUUGUGGGGUGCUCGAGUGGCGAACGGGUGAGUAACACGGGAGUAUCCUGCCCUUGACUUUGGGAUAACUUCAGGAAACUGGGGCUAAUACCUGAUAGGAGCUCCUGCUGCAUGGUGGGGGUUGGAACGUUUAGGCGGUUGGGGCUUGACUCUCGGUUUAUCAGCUGGUGGGUGGGGGAGUGGCUUACCAAGGGUUUGAUGGGUAGCCGGCCUGGGAGGGUGACCGGCCACAUGGGUACUGAGAUACGCCGCAGACGCCAACGGGAGACAACGGUGGAGAGCAUUGCACAAUGGUGGGACGCCUGAUGCAGCAACGCUGCGUUCGGAAUGACGGCCUUCUGGGUAUAAACCGCAUUCGCCUAUUACGAAGCGUGAGUGACGGUAAUAGGUAAAUAAGCACCGGCUAACUACGUG